rnacentral:lncRNA from 10 species
CCUGCCCACCUGUUAGCCUCUGAGAUGUGUGGUGUGAGCCCGUGUCCCCCCCUGGUCUCCAGGGAGUGAGUCGGGAGCCCUGCUGGAUUGAUGCCCAGGGCCUGUGCGGCCGCCCUGGAGGCGGUGGCUGGGAUAAACGUGCACCCAGCAGGACUCGCCUUGGCUCCGGGUUUUGCUUGUGCUCACAUGUGGCACCAUCCUUGGUUGCCCUCCUGGAGAAGGCAUUCACGGCCUGGGGUGGGAUGGCUGGGCUGUAGUUUAGCCUGGGCCUUGGGCCCCAGUGGGGGACAGGGCCUGUCUGCAUGAAGUGGACCGGAGACCUGCAGACCCCAGGAAAGUGUCACUAUGGGAGGGAGGGGCAGGCAGUCAGUGGCUGGUGCCAUGGGGUGAAGCCACCAUGGGCUGGGGGUGAAGAGCCGGCAGGAAGGGGACCAGUCACAGGGAGUGUGGACAGUCAGGGGUUUGCUUUCUGCUCCUGAGUUGGGGUGUGCAGCGUGGAGCCCACAGCCUGGUUCUGGGCCAGGGCACAGUGCCAGGGGCUCCGCUCUGACCUCCAGGAGGGAGACUGGGCCCGGGACCCCUGUUUUCUGCUCCCUGGACUGCCUAGCCCUGAGUGCCACGGAUGACCAGCGUUCUGUUUUCUCUUCUCAAUAACCCUAUCUCUUCACACAUCCCCAGGCCCAGUGCUUGCCGGCUGUGGUGACCCUGCCUGGUGCUGGAGGGCAGUAUGGGAGGCACCAGUGUGCCCUGCUCACCCCAUUAGUGUCAUCCUGCCAUCUUCUGUGUCCCCUUGGCCCUGGCACACACCCAUGUGGCAAACACGGGCCGUGAGGCUCCCUGAACAGCUUCGAGGCGGGUGGGCUUCUGGAGCCCUCUUGGCUCUGAGGACAGCCACAGUGGGGUCAGACGUCAGGGAUUGGUGCAGCCCCACGUCAGGGGUGAUUGUCUUGACUUUCUCUCCAUUUGAGUUCUGGGGUGGGUGGCUCCCUUCCCCCUUGCUUACAGGUGCUGUCCUGGGCACAGGAGGUACGCGCCUGGCUCUGCCACUGUUCUCUUCCCUCUGCUGCAAAGCCCAGUUAAGGAAAUGUCUCCAGGUCCAAAGAGAUAGGAUGGUCUGGGCCCCACCUGUUGGAAGGGAACAGCCAGGGAAGAACCACCUGCCUGGGCAGGGCCUCGCCUGAGGGAGGGCCUGGGGCAGGGCACAAGGGGUUGAUCUCAGCCCACAAGCCCCAGGGGCAGCCCAGGAAAGCAGGCGACGGAUGUGGAUCCUGACCUCCUGAGAGGUGUGAGGUGCAGGGAUACCCACCUCUGCCUUGACGGCCGCGCACCCCUUAGGAAGUGGCUGUCCAGCGCCUGCCUGUGCUGGGCCUGGGAGAGGAGCUGUCUUGCCAGGGCUCCCAGGCAGGGAGAGGCAGGUGAGGUUCUCAGCCGAUGUGUUAGAGGUUGAGCAUCGCCUGUGCCCAGCUUGCUGGCUGUCAGUGCUUGAUGUGCCCAUCCUCAGCUAAAACCCAGAGCUGGCAUGUUGGUCAUCCCCACCUCAGACGGGACGCCCAGUCCAGAGCUGGUGAGCCCUGGGCCAGCCUUUGGGCCUGGCCUGCCCCAUUCACCGGCCAGCGCCCCACCUCCCUGGCUGGAGGGUCGGGGAGGGGCUGGCAGAGAUGGUUGGUCCACAGGGCUAGCCCUGGGUGGUGGGAGAGGGGCCCAGGGUCAGGGUGAGAGAGAGCUGGGCCAGGGAGCUGCUGCAGGAUGAUUUUGAGGUGUGGGGGAAGCACUCUUGGUUGGUUUUGGUUUGCUUUUUAAAAAUUGUGGUAAAAUACAUAACAAAAGUAACUAUCGUAACCUGA